CGCUGGCGGCGUGCCUAACACAUGCAAGUCGUGCGAGAACGUCCCUUCGGGGGGCUAGUAAAGCGGCGAACGGGUGAGUAACACGUGAGUGAUCUGCCCGAGGAUGGGGGAUAACCCGGGGAAACCCGGGCUAAUACCGCAUGAGGCGGCGGGAGUAGAGACCCGCCGUGAAAGCUGGCCUCCCCAUGGAAGCUAGCGUCUUCGGAUGAGCUCGCGGCCUAUCAGCUUGUUGGUGGGGUAACGGCCCACCAAGGCUAUGACGGGUAGCUGGCGUGAGAGCGCGAUCAGCCACAUUGGGACUGAGACACGGCCCAGACUCCUACGGGAGGCAGCAGUGGGGAAUCUUGCGCAAUGGGCGAAAGCCUGACGCAGCGACGCCGCGUGGGGGAGGAAGGCCCCAGGGUUGUAAACCCCUGUCAGGUGGGACGAACCACGUGUCGGUCAAUACCCGGCGCGUCUGACGGUACCACCAGAGGAAGCUCCGGCUAACUCCGUG
rnacentral:rRNA from 1 species